rnacentral:lncRNA from 1 species
AAAAAACCAAGUAAAGAACGUUUAAGUAUUCAAUAUAAAUCAAAGCAGGUUAUUUCUGAUUAGUAUUUCGAGUUAUUUUAUAUAGGCGUUGAUAACCUUUGGUGACCCCACAGUUUAAAAGUCAAUUAUAAGGACGUCGUGAGCUAUGGGCGUUACAAACGAAAGUUCACCUAAUCCGUCCCAGUCAGUAGGCUAUUAAAGAGCGCCAAUCAAUGGUCGUGGCUACACUGUUAUGCAUUUGAUUCUAUGUUAUAUAUUAAACUCUUAUGUAAAGUGUUAUAAAAGUAAAAGUACACAUAAAAUAACAGAUUUAAAGCCCAGGUCAUCCAAACAAAAAUGCAAUAUUUACCAUGGAAGAACAACAUAUUUUUGAUCUAAUGACCAGUUUUGUGACUACCAUGGUCUGAAAAAAUAAUCUUCAGUGUCAGAUUGCGUGUUGUCUAGUUUAGUGUCAGUUUUCAGCAUUCCCUGAAUCGUUAUAAUUGUUUGCUUUGGAAAAAUUGAAAGUUUCUUAGAAAGACACAAAUCUGAUAUGAAUUCACUUCCUUUCUUUUCAUAAACAUACGAACAUUUUGGAGAUAUAUUUGCAUGUAUUGCCCAAAUGUUUUCAAUUUUUGGAAUGUGAAAGAGUCUAAUACAACAUUUAAAGCACUGAAUUAUAUUUGCCACAACACAAUAAAAUCCGGCUUCUGCCAAUUGUUUUACACCCAAUGCACUUAUUUUACUUCCACAUGCUUUAAAGGUUAGUAUUCUAGAUUCUAAAGUGCAAU